rnacentral:misc_RNA from 1 species
CCGAGUAUCGGUGCCCUCUGGGUGCCUACUCCCACCAAUUGUGAACCUUUUUCGUUGCCUCGGCGGGACGAUGGUACCCCCAUCCUCCGGCGUAAGCUGGAGUGUUCCCGCCAGAGGAUUUUCAAACUCGUUUAAUUUGAAAUCUGAGCAAAACAAAAUAAAAACA